rnacentral:tRNA from 1 species
UCUCAUAGCUCAGUUGGUAAAGAAUCUGCCUGCAAUGCAGAAAACCCUGGUUUGAUUCCUGGGUUGGGAA